UGGGGAAUUUUGGACAAUGGGCGAAAGCCUGAUCCAGCAAUGCCGCGUGUGUGAAGAAGGCCUUCGGGUUGUAAAGCACUUUUGUCCGGAAAGAAAUCCUUGGCUCUAAUACAGUCGGGGGAUGACGGUACCGGAAGAAUAAGCACCGGCUAACUACGUGCCAGCAGCCGCGGUAAUACGUAGGGUGCAAGCGUUAAUUGGAAUUACUGGGCGUAAAGCGUGCGCAGGCGGUUUGCUAAGACCGAUGUGAAAUCCCCGGGCUCAACCUGGGAACUGCAUUGGCGACUGGCAGGCUAGAGUAUGGCAGAGGGGGGUAGAAUUCCACGUGUAGCAGUGAAAUGCGUAGAGAUGUGGAGGAAUACCGAUGGCGAAGGCAGCCCCCUGGGCCAAUACUGACGCUCAUGCACGAAAGCGUGGGGAGCAAACAGGAUUAGAUACCCUGGUAGUCCACGCCCUAAACGAUGUCAACUAGUUGUUGGGGAUUCAUUCCUUAGUAACGUAGCUAACGCGUGAAGUUGACCGCCUGGGGAGUACGGUCGCAAGAUUAAAACUCAAGGAAUUGACGGGGUCAUAGCUGUUUCC
rnacentral:rRNA from 1 species